rnacentral:rRNA from 1 species
GACGAACGCUGGCGGCGUGCUUAACACAUGCAAGUCGAACGGAGCGCCCCGGAACGAGGUUUCGGCCAAGGGAAGGGGAGGCUUAGUGGCGGACUGGUGAGUAACGCGUGAGGAACCUGCCUUCCAGAGGGGGACAACAGUUGGAAACGACUGCUAAUACCGCAUGACAUAUCGGAGGGGCAUCCCUUGGAUAUCAAAGAUUCAUCGCUGGAAGAUGGCCUCGCGUCUGAUUAGCUAGUUGGUGAGGUAACGGCCCACCAAGGCGACGAUCAGUAGCCGGACUGAGAGGUCGGCCGGCCACAUUGGGACUGAGAUACGGCCCAGACUCCUACGGGAGGCAGCAGUGGGGAAUAUUGGGCAAUGGGCGCAAGCCUGACCCAGCAACGCCGCGUGAAGGAAGAAGGCUUUCGGGUUGUAAACUUCUUUUGUCAGGGAACAGUAGAAGAGGGUACCUGACGAAUAAGCCACGGCUAACUACGUGCCAGCAGCCGCGGUAAUACGUAGGUGGCGAGCGUUGUCCGGAUUUACUGGGUGUAAAGGGCGUGUAGCCGGGCUGGUAAGUCAGAUGUGAAAUCCGUGGGCUCAACCCACGAACUGCAUUUGAAACUGCUGGUCUUGAGUAUCGGAGAGGUAACCGGAAUUCCUAGUGUAGCGGUGAAAUGCGUAGAUAUUAGGAAGAACACCAGUGGCGAAGGCGGGUUACUGGACGACAACUGACGGUGAGGCGCGAAAGCGUGGGGAGCAAACAGGAUUAGAUACCCUGGUAGUCCACGCCGUAAACGAUGGAUACUAGGUGUGCGGGGACUGACCCCCUGCGUGCCGCAGUCAACACAAUAAGUAUCCCACCUGGGGAGUACGAUCGCAAGGUUGAAACUCAAAGGAAUUGACGGGGGCCCGCACAAGCGGUGGAUUAUGUGGUUUAAUUCGAAGCAACGCGAAGAACCUUACCAGGGCUUGACAUCCUACUGACGAAGUAGAGAUACAUCAGGUGCCCUUCGGGGAAAGUAGAGACAGGUGGUGCAUGGUUGUCGUCAGCUCGUGUCGUGAGAUGUUGGGUUAAGUCCCGCAACGAGCGCAACCCCUAUUGUUAGUUGCUACGCAAGAGCACUCUAGCGAGACUGCCGUUGACAAAACGGAGGAAGGUGGGGACGACGUCAAAUCAUCAUGCCCCUUAUGUCCUGGGCCACACACGUAAUACAAUGGCGGUCAACAGAGGGAUGCGAAGCCGCGAGGCAGAGCGAACCCCCAAAAGCCGUCCCAGUUCGGAUCGCAGGCUGCAACCCGCCUGCGUGAAGUCGGAAUCGCUAGUAAUCGUGGAUCAGAAUGCCACGGUGAAUACGUUCCCGGGCCUUGUACACACCGCCCGUCACACCAUGGGAGUGGGUUGCAAAAGAAGUAGGUAGCUUAACCUUCGGGAGGGCGCUUACCACUUUGUGAUUCAUGACUGGGGUGA